UGCCCACUAAUAUUCUGAAAUUAAAAAUGUCAAAAAUAUUUUUAAAAAGUAUUUUCUUUAUUAAAAAUAUGUGUUCACUGGGAAAUAGUAGACAGAUAAAUAGAAGAAAGAGAAUUUAAAGUACUUCCACAAAAAACCAGACCAGUGGUUGGGUUUGGGGACUGGGGCGAGUAGAAUUUAUUAAAGGGGGCAUGAAGUAACUUUUGGGGGGCAUGCAAAUGUUCAAUGUUUUCAUUGUGGCCGUGGCUUUUGUUCCAAAUGUGUAUACAUUGUCCAAAUUCAUCAAACUGUACAAUAGUGUAAUGGGUAUGUGUUAUUGUAAGUAAAUUAUACCUCUACAAAAUCAGUUAAUUCCUUUUCAAAAUACUUGUUGUCACCCAUACACAAUUUCUGUUAAUAUCCGUAGGCACACUUUUUAAAAUGUUUUCUAUACAUUUAUUUGUACACGUAUCUGAGUUUUUACACAAAGAAUGGUGUCAUUUUUUAUCAACUGUAACUAGUUUUUACCGAUUUCAAUUUUCUACUCUCUUAUCUGAAGGAUUUUGCCCCCCAAAGCAACUGUCCCCACAUAGCUCAUUACAUGACGUCCAAGGAGGGCAAGAGCUUUGGACUAAAGGCGAGAGAAGAUGAAAAAGACUGAAGAUAUGAGAAGGGAGAGAGAAACGGGGAAGCUAUUUUGACUUUUCCAGCCUCCAGGGCCUCAUUAUUGAUGAUUUAACAACAUUACACCAGUAAGCAGCAGGGUCUUGCUAUAUGAACAUUGGAUCACAACAUUUGCUGUGGGUAAUUUAAAGGCAACUGACUGCAAACCCACCCCCUAGUUGCUCCUGCCAAUACCCUUGACUUCCACACACCUGCUUCUGAAAAUGUCAUUCCACCUGUGUGUUGUGCGUUACACAACCCUCUGUAUCUGAGGUCUUGCCAGACACGUUAAAGGAGAGGACAACAGAACAUUCUGACCACUUCCUCCAAAGCUAUCAUUUUCCGGGGGGGGGGGGGAGGAGGAGUUGUAUAGUAAUUCUUUUUUAUUUUUUUGCAGUUUUUGGCCAGAGCCAGGUUUGAACCCGCCACCUCCUGUAUGGGGCCUGUACCCUACUUCUUUGAGCCACAGGUAGCGCCCAGUUGUAUAGUAAUUCUGAAUCCCUGAGAGCCAGCUCCCUCUUAUCUCAAUCUUAUGCCCCAGGAAUAAGGAAGGAGCCAGAUGUUCAGGCAAAAUCAGUCCUACAGUUACUACUGAUGUCAGGCUAAGGUCCCAUCAGCAGCGUCGCUCCGGCUCUGGCUCCGGCUCCUGCUCCUGGGGGCACACGUGUGCGUGUGUGUGCAGGUGGGCUCGUCAGCUGAAAGGUAGUGCUUCCUCGUGGAGGAGUUAGACAUAGGUUCCGCCCAUUACCAAAGGAUAAUCUCUCUUUGGGAUAGCUGGUUCCCAGAGAGCAGGGAAAGAAGCUGUGAAAAUCUAGUCACAUUUGCCAGAGACAAAACUAUUUGGCUCCACAGGCAGACAAACAAAAACAAAAACAAAACAUGGGCCCAAUUCUCCUGACAGCUCCAUUCUACACACCUCUGUGAGGAGGAGGAGGGCCUGGUGACCAGAAGAGACUGCUCCACGCUGUGGGGCUUGCUAGUUGUGCCCUUAUAUCCAAGAAAUCAGACUUUGCCACCAACCUCAGUCCACUCCUGGGCCCAGCUGGGGACCUGGGGACAGAAAGAUCCAAGCAACUUUGGGUCAGGGCUCUGCAGAAAGGCACCUAAGUGGCUGAACAGGCUGUCCCUGUGUCUGUGGCUGCACUCUGUUCUCAGGUCCUCAACCAGAAGGUUUUUACAAAGCGAAGGCUAUACAUAGGAAGCAGGAAGUCUCUGGGCACAUGGGCAAAGCGGAGAAGUAGCACAUGACAUGGCGGAAGACAGCGGAACUCUAAAAGCCCAGCUGUCUGGAGCCACUUAGCAUGGACCUCUGUAGCUCCUGUGGACCUAGAGAUGGUGUAGUGCAGGACACUGAUUGAUGUUCAAAGUGAGUCAUCAAGAAAAGGUCAAAUUGUAUUCAGAACCUUUUAAGAAAGCAAAGUACUAUGUAAAACAUUUCAGAAAAAUCACUUUCCAAAAUGAAAUUUUUUAAUUGGCAUUUAAGUUUGGGCUAUAUUAUGUUGGUCUAAUAGUACCUCUACUUAAGAUAUUAAAUAUAUUCCAAUACUAAAAAUCCUUUCCAGAAAGAAUUGGUUUUUUUAUUUUAUUUUAUUUUUUUUUUGGUAGAGACAGUUUCACUUUGUCACCCUCUGUGCCGUGGCAUCACAGCUCACAGCAACCUCCAGUUCCUGGGCCUAGGCGAUUCUCCUGCCUUAGCCUCCCAAGUAGCUGGGACUACAGGCGCCCACCACAAGGACCGGCUAUUUUUUUGUUGCAGUUCAGCCAGGGCCGGGUUUGAACCUGCCACCCUCAGUAUAUGGGGCCAGCACCCUACUCACUGAGCCACAGGAGCUGCCCAAGAAUUGGUUUUUGUUUGGAUGUUGUUACUGAUAUAUAAAUACAUUUACAUGCAUACAUACACACACUUGUGCACGCACGCACACACACACACACACACACACACACGUAUGUAUGAUUUAAUCAUAUCCCACUGCUGGUUAUUUUAGAUCCCAUGGUUUCCUACCUCUGCCAGGACCAGAAACCAUUAUCUAUCUCCUCCCACAUCUUCAGCCACUUGCCAGAGAGAUCUUUCUCUUCACUGUAUACCCAGAUUCAAGUUCCCCCACCCUGAAAACAAAACCCUCACCACCACUGUCCUGGAAAUCUAGCACUAUGAGGCCCUGGUCCUGGUGUGCAGCCCCCAAACCUCUUUACCUCUACUCUUACCAGCUCCCCCUCCAGUAAGGGGGAGAGAAACAAGACAAUUUCUACCAAUUGAGGACACCCCUCUACAAACCAUAGCACAACUUACUUCUAGGCUUGUGACUGGGAGCCUACGAGUCUUCACCUCCUCAGCCUUGAAAGACUUCAGGGGACCUAAAAGUUCCAGCCCAGAUGUUUAGCCACCUGUCCCCCACAGCUGCUAUAUCUGGGCUACAUCUUGAGGAAAAACUGAAGGUGUAUUUCAGUGUGUGACAUCUAUAAGAGAAGAAAUCACAGUGCAAAGAGUUACAUUUGAUGCUUUGUCCAAGACCCCAGAGUGGAAUCCGGAUAAGACGCUGGCUGACUCUUCUUUUUUGCAAAGCUGCCAGGCGGGCUUGACAGGCUGAGAACAUCAUCUCCCCAUUUCAAUCGCCUUCAAUCAAUUUACUCCAACAAAAGGUCAUUUUAGACAGAAAUCCAGUUUGACUGAUUUCUCUCACUGUAUUGACCAGUUUAAAUAAAAUGAGCAAACCAGCGUCUUUGUUUCCGCGUCACACAGCCACAGCCUACAGACUAACCAGGCACGGUAACUCCAGCUCCCUGGCGAUUUGAAACCCCAUCUCCUGGAUUAAACACCUCUCUCUAAUUAGAAAGUGACUUAAGGAAAGGACAGAAAAGAUAAGAAGACAGCAGAUGACCUCUUCCAAAGCAAACACUUUUCAAUUAUGAAGGCUAAAAAAAGCUGUGUUUAAAAAUUGCCACCACGUGGGAGCCCACGUAUCGAUCCAUCAUUGUUCCCCCUGUUGCUAGGAUGUGGUCUAGAUUAAAAGACAGUUGUCGCCUUGGAGAAAACCUCCCCGAGCAAAGCCGCAGUGCUCCCCCUGCUGACCAAGAAGCCUAGACGAUUGCUUCUUUGUCUCUCAUUGUUUUGCUCCUUUUC